UGCUGGAUCAUCCAACGGCAGGAUGCGUGGCUCUGGACCACGUCAUGCAGGUUCGAACCCUGCUCCAGCAG
rnacentral:tRNA from 1 species